rnacentral:rRNA from 1 species
AUUGAACGCUGGCGGCAGGCCUAACACAUGCAAGUCGAACGGUAACAGGAAACAGCUUGCUGUUUCGCUGACGAGUGGCGGACGGGUGAGUAAUGUCUGGGAAACUGCCUGAUGGAGGGGGAUAACUACUGGAAACGGUAGCUAAUACCGCAUAACGUCGCAAGACCAAAGAGGGGGACCCUCGGGCCUCUUGCCAUCGGAUGUGCCCAGAUGGGAUUAGCUUGUUGGUGGGGUAACGGCUCACCAAGGCGACGAUCCCUAGCUGGUCUGAGAGGAUGACCAGCCACACUGGAACUGAGACACGGUCCAGACUCCUACGGGAGGCAGCAGUGGGGAAUAUUGCACAAUGGGCGCAAGCCUGAUGCAGCCAUGCCGCGUGUAUGAAGAAGGCCUUCGGGUUGUAAAGUACUUUCAGCGGGGAGGAAGGGAGUAAAGUUAAUACCUUUGCUCAUUGACGUUACCCGCAGAAGAAGCACCGGCUAACUCCGUGCCAGCAGCCGCGGUAAUACGGAGGGUGCAAGCGUUAAUCGGAAUUACUGGGCGUAAAGCGCACGCAGGCGGUUUGUUAAGUCAGAUGUGAAAUCCCCGGGCUCAACCUGGGAACUGCAUCUGAUACUGGCAAGCUUGAGUCUCGUAGAGGGGGGUAGAAUUCCAGGUGUAGCGGUGAAAUGCGUAGAGAUCUGGAGGAAUACCGGUGGCGAAGGCGGCCCCCUGGACGAAGACUGACGCUCAGGU